rnacentral:rRNA from 1 species
GACGAACGCUGGCGGCGUGGAUUAGGCAUGCAAGUCGAACGGUAUCAUCCUUUCGGGGGUGAGAGAGUGGCGAACUGGUGAGUAACACGUAGGUUAUCUACCCUCAAGACGGGGACAACCCAGGGAAACUUGGGCUAAUACCGGAUGUGAGCAACUUUUAGUUGUUUGAAAGGUGGCGUAAGCUGUCGCUUGGGGAUGAGCCUGCGUCCUAUUAGUUAGUUGGUGAGGUAACGGCUCACCUAGGCAAUGAUAGGUAGGCGGCCUUAACGGGUGGUCGCCCACACUGGGGAUUGAGAUACGGCCCAGACUCCUACGGGAGGCAGCAGUCGAGAAUAGUCUACAAUGGUCGGAAGACUGAUAGUGCGACGCCGCGUGAACGAUGAAUCCCUUCGGGGUGUAAAGUUCUUUUAUAUGUGAGCAGUGCUUCUUAUAUUAACAGUAUGGGGAAGGAGAUAUUAGCAUAUGAAUAAGCAACGGCUAACUCCGUGCCCAGCAGCCGACGGUAAUCGUCG